CGCAGUUGUGGGUGUUGUCGGAGGAAGGUGAGAGAUUUCAUGGUGCUCCAGAAAAAGGGUGUUUCCUGCUAUUGCCAUGUGGAAUCUGACCUCAAAAAGCAGGAGGGGGAUGUCACCUGCCUCGUCUAUCCUAAGGGUUGAACUGCCCAAGAAACAGCCAAAGGGAGCUGGAAGCUGUCGUCCAAGAUGAGCAGUUGUGAUUGAAAUGGCACUUUGGCUGGAAAGAUGUGUUAAAAUCAGACUGGAGAUGCAUUACAAAGAGUUUAGAAGAGAAGAAUAUACUUGCAAGAUGCACCUCAGAAGAUUGUACAGAUAAGAUACUGCUACAACUCAAUGUGUUCAAAGGCUGUACUGAAAGUCUCCACCAUUCUCUUGAGGGCCUCUGAAGACCAACAUAUUGGGGGACAGAGAGAGUCUUUCCUGCAUUAUUGUGGAAGUAAACCUACAGGCUGACUUCUGUUCUCUUUGUUGUACACGGUCACUGAAAGGGCCAGGGUUCGGAGUCCCUGCUGAUGGCAUUCCCUCAGGGAAGGGAUCCUUAACAAGCUCUCUUGUGCCUCUCCAAAGACAGGUGGUAUUCCCAGAUCCUGGGCCAUCUAGGGUUUUAGAAGUGGCAACUACCACUUUGAUUUGCACCCAGAAGCCAACUGGUAGCCAGUACAGCCCCUAUAAUAGUGUGGUUAGGGAAUGUUGAACCUAAAUAUGCCCCAAAUCAGAUGCUGUAGUAACUGAUGGUUCUGAAUGGCCUUCAAGGGCAGCCCUAUGCAAUAUGGGUUGCAGUAGUCCAGCCAGAAGGUGACAAAGAGAGGAAUACUGGUCAGUAUGCAGAUGUAUCUUACAGUGACGCUGCUAUGUUAGAAGAGGAGCAGACUAGCCCAACUGUUUCCAGUUUCCAUUAUUCUUCAACCCUUGAGGUUUUUUUAUAUAUGCCUGUUAUAUAAGCAACAAUUCUGCAGCUGUUUUAUAUGCAGUAAACUUGGCAUAAAAGGCUAAAUUAAAACUCUUCUGGUCCUUUUAAA